rnacentral:tRNA from 1 species
CGGGGUGUAGCUCAGUUUGGCCAGAGUGCACGGUUUGGGUCCGUGACGUCGCAGGUUCGAAUCCUGUCACCCCGA